GACGAACGCUGGCGGCGUGCUUAACACAUGCAAGUCGAACGGAAAGGCCCUGCUUUUGUGGGGUGCUCGGGUGGCGAACGGGUGAGUAACACGUGAGUAACCUGCCCUUGACUUUGGGAUAACUUCAGGAAACUGGGGCUAAUACCGGAUAGGAGCUCCUGCUGCAUGGUGGGGGUUGGAAAGUUUCGGCGGUUGGGGAUGGACUCGCGGCUUAUCAGCUUGUUGGUGGGGUAGUGGCUUACCAAGGCUUUGACGGGUAGCCGGCCUGAGAGGGUGACCGGCCACAUUGGGACUGAGAUACGGCCCAGACUCCUACGGGAGGCAGCAGGGGGGAAUAUUGCAAAAUGGGCGGAAGCCUGAUGCAGCAACGCCGCGUGCGGGAUGACGGCCUUCGGGUUGUAAACCGCUUUCGCCUGUGACGAAGCGUGAGUGACGGUAAUGGGUAAAGAAGCACCGGCUAACUACGUG
rnacentral:rRNA from 1 species